rnacentral:rRNA from 1 species
UACGAAGGGGGGCUAGCGUUGCUCGGAAUCACUGGGCGUAAAGGGCGCGUAGGCGGCUGUUCAAGUCGGGGGGUGAAAGCCUGUGGCUCAACCACAGAAUGGCCUCGAUACUGGACGGCUCGAGACCGGAAGAGGUCAGUGGAACUGCGAGUGUAGAGGUGAAAUUCGAUAGAUAUUCGCAAGAACACCAGUGGCGAAGGCGGCUGACUGGUCCGGUUCU